UAUUAUAGUUAUUUAAAUAUUUAUUUUAAUUUUGAAAAAUUAUAUUGUAUGGCUUUAUCACGUCUUGCAUAAUUUUAUCAUGGCCCUUUCUACACCAAGCCUUUCAAAACAAAUGAUAAAUAACAGAAUUAAUCUCCAGAAUAAUUCCUAAAUAAUACUUUAAUCAACCAAUUUAUUAAAGGUUCAGAUGAUACUUUGGGCCAGUGGAUAAAACAAUGGAUGAUCAGCAUGGAAGGCAGAGUAAUCUGUGAGGGUGAGCAUGCACACUGGAAUUCCUUCAAAGAUGCUUUGCUGGCAUAAAUCCAGAGAGGGGAACCAAGGCUGUGAGGGGAAAUGUGACAUCAAAAAAAAAAACUGGCAAGACAGUUCAGAAGAAGACCAUGACUUUAAACCCCAAGGUUUCAAACAUUUUAAAGAAACUAAUGGACUUUGAAUGGGACUUUAUUUAAAAUGCAGC
rnacentral:lncRNA from 1 species